rnacentral:rRNA from 1 species
GACGAAUGCUGGCUGCGUGCUUAACACAUGCAAGUCGAACGGUGAACCAGGGCUUGCCCUGGGGAUCAGUGGCGAACGGGUGAGUAACACGUGGGCAACCUGCCCCUCACUCUGGGAUAACUCCGGGAAACCGGGGCUAAUACCGGAUACGACCUCAUGCAACAUCCCGUGCGGUGGAAAGAACUUCGGUGAGGGAUGGGGCCGCGGCCUAUCAGCUAGUUGGUGGGGUAACGGCCCACCAAGGCGACGACGGGUAGCCGGCCUGAGAGGGCGACCGGCCACACUGGGACUGAGACACGGCCCAGACUCCUACGGGAGGCAGCAGUGGGGAAUAUUGCGCAAUGGGCGAAAGCCUGACGCAGCGACGCAGCGUGAGGGAUGAAGGCCUUCGGGUUGUAAACCUCUUUCAGCGGGGACGAAGCGAAAGUGACGGUACCCGCAGAAGAAGCACCGGCUAACUACGUGCCAGCAGCCGCGGUAACAC